rnacentral:lncRNA from 1 species
CUUUGGAGAAACAAUAGAGAAACAUAAUUGGGAAAAAUACUAUCUAGGACCAAUAGGUUGUGAUGCCUCUUUUCUAAUCAAGGUCAAGCAAUGCUUGAACUUAUUCGUGACAAUGUCUACUGCAUUUUCAGAAGUGUGAACUUUCUCAAAUGGUAGUUUACAGGAAGAAACUAAUUUUAUGAUCCUAUAAAACUCCACAUCUGCAUGAUUAGUACUGUCACAUUUCAACUUAACUCCAUCUUGUUGAGCACCCAACUCCUUGACCAUUCAUGUAAGGCAUAAAGCUUCCUUGGCAACCUUAGCCACUGCAGUGUUGGCUUUAGCAGCACAUUUGGACAUGCAGUUGAAGAAGAUGAACGUAAAGACAUAUUUUCUUCAUGGAGAUUUAUAAGAGCAGAUUUAUAUAGAGUAACCAAAAGGGUUCAAUUAGCCUAAACUAGAGCACUAGGUCUAUAAAUUGGUGAGACACUUUAUAGGUUGAAGCAGUCUUCUCGAGAGUGGUACAAGCGAUUUGAUUCCAACAUGAUUAGGAUUGGUUAUAGAAGAUGUGAAUAUGAUUGUUGUGUUUAUGAAAAGAACCUUGACAAUGGUUAUUUUAUUCUCUUGUUACUUUAUGUAGAUGAUAUGUUGAUUGCUGCGAAGAGUAUGAGUGAGGUCAACAAGUUGAAGAAUUUGUUGAGAAGAGAGUUCGAUAUAAAGGAUUUGGAUGCGGCAAAGCGGAAUCUUGGGAUGGAGAUUCGUAGGAACAAAUAUUUCAAAAAAUUACGGUUAUCUCAAUGGAGUUAUGUUGAGUAGGCAUUAGAAAUGUUCAUCAUGGGUAAUGCAAAAUCAGUAAAUACACCUUUAGCAAAUCAUUUUAGAUUAUCUAUUGCUCAGUGCCCGAAAACAGAUGCUAAAAAUGAAGACAUGUCAAAAGCUUCCAUGUGCUAGUGCAGUGGAUGUCUAACAUAUGAUAUGGUUUGUACAAGCUUGAAUUUGGCAUAAGCUGUUAAUGCACUGAGCAAGUUUUUGGCAAAUCCAAGUUCACAUCAUAACCUGAAUCCAUAUAUCCCAUAAUUAAAAGAUCAUUUUGUUGCUUGCUAAACAUGAUGUCAUAGUGUGUAGUACCUCUCAAGUAUCUGAAAAUCCACUUCACUGCAUCUCAAUGCUUUCGUCCUGGACUUGUAAAAAACUUGCUCACCACAAAUACCUUGUGUCAAAUCCUAUCUUGUACAAACCAUAGCAUACAGUAGACACCCAUCUAUAUUAGCAUAUAGAACAUUUGACAUGUCUUCAUUUCUAGCAUCUAUCUUCAUGUACAAAGCAGUAG